rnacentral:rRNA from 1 species
CCCCUAGAUGUUCUGGGCCGCACGCGCGCUACACUGAACAGUUCAACAAGUCUUAACCUUGGCCGAUAGGUCUGGGUAAUCUUUGAACGCUGUUCGUGAUUGGGAUAGACCUUUGCAAUUAUGGGUCUUCAACGAGGAAUUCCUAGUAAACGCAAGUCAUCAGCUUGCAUUGAUUACGUCCCUGCCCUUUGUACACACCGCCCGUCGCACCUACCGAUUGAGUGAUCCGGUGAAUAAUUCGGACUGCAGCAGUGCUUGGUCCUCCGGGCUUUGCAGCGGAAAGUUUAGUGAACCUUAUCACUUAGAGGAAGGAGAAGUCGUANCA